rnacentral:lncRNA from 1 species
UAUAUGCCUGCACCUUACUCUCCAUAAAAAGAUCAACACCAGGGCUUCAGUGAUGGACACCAGAUUCUCAUUUCUUAUGUAAAUGCAGAUAGGAAUGGUAGACAGCAGAAAAUCAUUUCAUGGUACAGUGUUUUUACAUAGCGAAAAACAAUUUUCUGGCCUUUUCUUCUCGGUUGCCAAUUUAAGUCUUCAUAUUUCUUGUUAGCCGAGAUUGAUGUCCUAUCUUGAGAAAACAUAGCAAUCAAGCUCAUGGACCAAGGAGCAUUCUGCUGCUGAAGGGAAAAGAUCGGCAGUGAGAGUCAACAAACACGUCGCGAGUAGGACUGGUAAUAGACCUAACUUUUUUAUAUGUAUAAUUUAAGGGUUAUGUCCAAAAUAGAGUAGACUAAAAUUUAUAAGUUUUCGAAAUAAAAAUUUUUAAGAGAU